rnacentral:rRNA from 1 species
CCUACGGGAGGCAGCAGUGAGGAAUAUUGGUCAAUGGACGGGAGUCUGAACCAGCCAAGCCGCGUGAAGGAAGACUGUACAGCGUAUCGUAAACCUCUUUUGUCAGGGAAUAAAGGCGGGGACUAGUCCCCUUAUGCGUGUACCUUAUGAAAAAGCAUCGGCUAACUCCGUGCCAGCAGCCGCGGUAAUACGGAGGAUGCGAGCGUUAUCCGGAUUUAUUGGGUUUAAAGGGUGCGCAGAGGGCCUGUUAAGUCAGCGGUAAAAGCCCGGGGCUCAACCCCGGAGAGCCGUUGAAACUGGCGGGCUGGAGUUGGAGAGAAGUACGCGGAAUGCGUGGUGUAGCGGUGAAAUGCUUAGAUAUCGCGAAGAACCCCGAUUGCGAAGGCAGCGUACCGGCUCGAGACUGACGCUGAGGCACGAAAGCGUGGGUAUCUAACAGGAUUAGAUACCCUGGUAGUC